GGAAGGGUGGCAGAGUGGUCGAUUGCGGCUGUCUUGAAAACAGCUGGCCGACGAGGCCCGGGGGUUCGAAUCCCUCCCCUUCCGCCA
rnacentral:tRNA from 1 species